CGCCCGCAAGGGGAGCGGCAGACGGGUGAGUAACGCGUGGGAAUCCACCCAUCUCUACGGAACAACAGUUGGAAACGACUGCUAAUACCGUAUACGCCCUUAGGGGGAAAGAUUUAUCGGAGAUGGACGAGCCCGCGUUGGAUUAGCUAGUUGGUGGGGUAAAGGCCUACCAAGGCGACGAUCCAUAGCUGGUCUGAGAGGAUGAUCAGCCACAUUGGGACUGAGACACGGCCCAA
rnacentral:rRNA from 1 species